UUAAGUUAGAAAGGGCGCACGGUGGAUGCCUUGGCACUAGGAGCCGAUGAAGGACGGGACGAACACCGAUAUGCUUCGGGGAGCUGUAAGCAAGCUUUGAUCCGGAGAUUUCCGAAUGGGGAAACCCACCACUCGUAAUGGAGUGGUAUCCAUAUCUGAAUACAUAGGAUAUGAGAAGGCAGACCCGGGGAACUGAAACAUCUAAGUACCCGGAGGAAGAGAAAGCAAAUGCGAUUCCCUGAGUAGCGGCGAGCGAAACGGGACCAGCCCAAACCAAGAGGCUUGCCUCUUGGGGUUGUAGGACACUCUGUACGGAGUUACAAAGGAACGAGGUAGAUGAAGAGGUCUGGAAAGGCCCGCCAUAGGAGGUAACAGCCCUGUAGUCAAAACUUCGUUCUCUCCUGAGUGGAUCCUGAGUACGGCGGAACACGUGAAAUUCCGUCGGAAUCCGGGAGGACCAUCUCCCAAGGCUAAAUACUCCCUAGUGACCGAUAGUGAACCAGUACCGUGAGGGAAAGGUGAAAAGCACCCCGGAAGGGGGAGUGAAAGAGAUCCUGAAACCGUGUGCCUACAAGUAGUCAGAGCCCGUUAACGGGUGAUGGCGUGCCUUUUGUAGAAUGAACCGGCGAGUUACGAUCCCGUGCAAGGUUAAGCAGAAGAUGCGGAGCCGCAGCGAAAGCGAGUCUGAAUAGGGCGAAUUGAGUACGUGGUCGUAGACCCGAAACCAGGUGAUCUACCCAUGUCCAGGGUGAAGUUCAGGUAACACUGAAUGGAGGCCCGAACCCACGCACGUUGAAAAGUGCGGGGAUGAGGUGUGGGUAGGGGUGAAAUGCCAAUCGAACCUGGAGAUAGCUGGUUCUCUCCGAAAUAGCUUUAGGGCUAGCCUCAAGGUAAGAGUCUCGGAGGUAGAGCACUGAUUGGACUAGGGGCCCCUACCGGGUUACCGAAUUCAGUCAAACUCCGAAUGCCGAUGACUUAUCCUUGGGAGUCAGACUGCGAGUGAUAAGAUCCGUAGUCGAAAGGGAAACAGCCCAGACCGCCAGCUAAGGUCCCAAAGUAUACGUUAAGUGGAAAAGGAUGUGGAGUUGCUUAGACAACCAGGAUGUUGGCUUAGAAGCAGCCACCAUUUAAAGAGUGCGUAAUAGCUCACUGGUCGAGUGACUCUGCGCCGAAAAUGUACCGGGGCUAAACGUAUCACCGAAGCUGCGGACUGUUCUUCGAACAGUGGUAGGAGAGCGUUCUAAGGGCUGUGAAGCAAGACCGGAAGGACUUGUGGAGCGCUUAGAAGUGAGAAUGCCGGUAUGAGUAGCGAAAGAGGGGUGAGAAUCCCCUCCACCGAAUGCCUAAGGUUUCCUGAGGAAGGCUCGUCCGCUCAGGGUUAGUCGGGACCUAAGCCGAGGCCGAAAGGCGUAGGCGAUGGAUAACAGGUUGAUAUUCCUGUACCACCUCCUCACCAUUUGAGCAAUGGGGGGACGCAGGAGGAUAGGGUAAGCGCGGUAUUGGAUAUCCGCGUCCAAGCAGUUAGGCUGGGAAAUAGGCAAAUCCGUUUCCCGUGAAGGCUGAGCUGUGAUGGCGAGCGAAUUAUAGUAGCGAAGUUCCUGAUUCCACACUGCCAAGAAAAGCCUCUAGCGAGGUGAGAGGUGCCCGUACCGCAAACCGACACAGGUAGGCGAGGAGAGAAUCCUAAGGUGAUCGAGAGAACUCUCGUUAAGGAACUCGGCAAAAUGACCCCGUAACUUCGGGAGAAGGGGUGCUCUGUUAGGGUGCAAGCCCGAGAGAGCCGCAGUGAAUAGGCCCAGGCGACUGUUUAGCAAAAACACAGGUCUCUGCGAAGCCGUAAGGCGAAGUAUAGGGGCUGACGCCUGCCCGGUGCUGGAAGGUUAAGAGGAGCGCUUAGCGUAAGCGAAGGUGCGAAUUGAAGCCCCAGUAAACGGCGGCCGUAACUAUAACGGUCCUAAGGUAGCGAAAUUCCUUGUCGGGUAAGUUCCGACCCGCACGAAAGGCGCAACGAUCUGGGCACUGUCUCAACGAGAGACUCGGUGAAAUUAUAGUACCUGUGAAGAUGCAGGUUACCCGCGACAGGACGGAAAGACCCCGUGGAGCUUUACUGCAGCCUGAUAUUGAAUGUUGGUACAGCUUGUACAGGAUAGGUAGGAGCCUUGGAAACCGGAGCGCCAGCUUCGGUGGAGGCAUCGGUGGGAUACUACCCUGGCUGUAUUGACCUUCUAACCCGCCGCCCUUAUCGGGCGGGGAGACAGUGUCAGGUGGGCAGUUUGACUGGGGCGGUCGCCUCCUAAAAGGUAACGGAGGCGCCCAAAGGUUCCCUCAGAAUGGUUGGAAAUCAUUCGCAGAGUGUAAAGGCACAAGGGAGCUUGACUGCGAGACCUACAAGUCGAGCAGGGACGAAAGUCGGGCUUAGUGAUCCGGUGGUUCCGCAUGGAAGGGCCAUCGCUCAACGGAUAAAAGCUACCCCGGGGAUAACAGGCUUAUCUCCCCCAAGAGUCCACAUCGACGGGGAGGUUUGGCACCUCGAUGUCGGCUCAUCGCAUCCUGGGGCUGUAGUCGGUCCCAAGGGUUGGGCUGUUCGCCCAUUAAAGCGGUACGCGAGCUGGGUUCAGAACGUCGUGAGACAGUUCGGUCCCUAUCCGUCGCGGGCGCAGGAAAUUUGAGAGGAGCUGUCCUUAGUACGAGAGGACCGGGAUGGACGCACCGCUGGUGUACCAGUUGUUCUGCCAAGGGCAUCGCUGGGUAGCUAUGUGCGGACGGGAUAAGUGCUGAAAGCAUCUAAGCAUGAAGCCCCCCUCAAGAUGAGAUUUCCCAUUCCGCAAGGAAGUAAGAUCCCUGAAAGAUGAUCAGGUUGAUAGGUCUGAGGUGGAAGUGUGGCGACACAUGGAGCUGACAGAUACUAAUCGAUCGAGGACUUAACCAA
rnacentral:rRNA from 1 species